rnacentral:misc_RNA from 1 species
UCUGCCUUAUCGGCAAGCGGUCUCCUUAGAGUGCCCAACUUAAUGCUGGCAACUAAGGACAAGGGUUGCGCUCGUUGCGGGACUUAACCCAACAUCUCACGACACGAGCUGACGACAGCCAUGCAGCACCUGUCUCCACGUCCCCGAAGGGAACCCCUACUUUCAUAGGGUAGCGUGGGAUGUCAAGCCCAGGUAAGGUUCUUCGCGUUGCAUCGAAUUAAACCACAUACUCCACCGCUUGUGCGGGCCCCCGUCAAUUUCUUUGAGUUUUAACCUUGCGGCCGUACUCCCCAGGCGGGAUACUUAAUGCGUUAGCUGCGGCACCGAGAGUGUAGUACCUCCCGACACCUAGUAUCCAUCGUUUAAGGCGUGGACUAC